GCAGACGGCCGGACGACCGCUGCGCGCAGGCGCCCCGGCGCGUGCGCGGGGAGGAAAGUCCGAACUCCGGAGGGCAGUGCGCCGGGUAACGCCCGGUCAGGGUGACCUGAAGGAAAGUGGCACAGAAAACAUACCGCCCGCGGUGCCCGUACGGGCAUCGCGGGUAAGGGUGAAAAGGUGCGGUAAGAGCGCACCGCGCCCGCUGCAAGGCGGGUGGCAGGCUAAACCCCGCACGGAGCAAGACCAAAUAGGGGGGCGCUUGAGGGUGGUCCGCCCGAAGCUCCCGGGUAGGUCGCUGGACCCCGCCGGUGACGGCGGGGCUAGAGGAAUGGUCGUCACCGGCGCGUCCGCGAGCAAUCGCGGCGCGGCGGCACAGAAUUCGGCUUAUGGCCGCGCUGCGGCG
rnacentral:RNase_P_RNA from 1 species